GCCGAGGUGGCGGAAGUGGCAGACGCAAGGGAUUUAAAAUCCCUCGCCCACCUUGGGCGUGCCGGUUCGAGUCCGGCCCUCGGCA
rnacentral:tRNA from 1 species